rnacentral:rRNA from 1 species
CCUACGGGAGGCAGCAGUGAGGAAUAUUGGUCAAUGGACGAGAGUCUGAACCAGCCAAGUAGCGUGAAGGAUGACUGCCCUAUGGGUUGUAAACUUCUUUUAUAUGGGAAUAAAAUGUUCCACGUGUGGGAUUUUGUAUGUACCAUAUGAAUAAGGAUCGGCUAACUACGUGCCAGCAGCCGCGGUAACACGGAGGAUCCGAGCGUUAUCCGGAUUUAUUGGGUUUAAAGGGAGCGUAGGUGGAUUGUUAAGUCAGUUGUGAAAGUUUGCGGCUCAACCGUACAAUUGCAGUUGAAACUGGCAGGCUUGAGUACAGUAGAGGUGGGCGGAAUUCGUGGUGUAGCGGUGAAAUGCUUAGAUAUCACGAAGAACUCCGAUUGCGAAGGCAGCUCACUGGACUGCAACUGACACUGAGGCUCGAAAGUGUGGGUAUCAAACAGGAUUAGAUACCCGAGUAGUC